UACACACCGCCCGUCACACCAUGGGAGUUGGGUUUACCUUAAGCCGGUGCGCUGACCGCAAGGAGGCAGCCGACCACGGUAGGUCUGAUGACUGGGGUG
rnacentral:rRNA from 1 species